CAGCGAGCUCCCGAAGAAACCAGGGCGGCGGGGAGAGCGAGACCCGCGCCUCGGGCUCCAGGGAGGGAAAGAAAGCUACAGAAAGCCGGAGCGGGGCUGCACUUCACGCUGAAGUUUCCCUUUUGAAUCGUCUGGAGUUAUGGCCCCUAAAACCAAGCAGAUGACUUCAUCUGGUGUUCAACCAAAAGAAAAUGAUCUGUUCCAAGACUGAAGGAAAAAUUGGCAGUGUUGAACUUAUUAAGAAGCAGUAUGACUGCAGAUUCUACUUUACGGACAAUAUAAGGCAUUUUCAAGAGGAAAGUUGAAUAUAUGGAAUUUUCUUCUUAAAUAGUGACUUGAAUACUUAACCACCACAGAAGAUGCAACUCCAUGACAAUCUGGCAACAGAGAAUCAAAGCAAAAUGGAAACAACACUGGAACAGAUGCAGAAGUCUAAUAAGAACGUCUUCUCGGACAAAGUUAUUUUAAUGAAAGCGACACUCUGUGCAACCUCCCUGAUUCCUCCUCGUGUUCAACCACCCAAAUUAGAUUCACUUCAUUGGCUGUUUUCAUCAGGUUUCACAACACUGGGGACUAUCCAAAAGAAAUAAAAGUUACCUUUUUGGAUUCACUGGAAACGGUUUUAGCCAACAAGCUCUGACAGAGACAUAAUCUUAAUGUACCUGAACUCUAGAAAGCCAUGGUGAAAGCCAGGAAUUUGGACUGCAUUGUAAAAAGUAGCUACAGGAAGCUGAACCGUGUUUGCCAGUUAGGUGUGGCCAUGCAGCUGAGUCCUGAGCAGAAGGUGAGCAGAAGUGACAAGCAUCGCUUCAGGGCCCGGCUCCCAAAACCACCGGCGUGCAACUCUCCAUGCCCUUUGCCUUCCAGCCUGGUGCAAAUGGCCAGGCACCCUUGGAAGCCAUGUGGUACAGAUGGUGAGGCCGUAAGAUGGACGAUGCCCGAAUCCCUGAAUUAUCUCUGGCAGCAGGGCUGGCUGCCCAUUUCAGGCACCCUGCUUCGACUUCAUGUGAUUAGAAAAGGGAAAUGCCUUUGGUGUUUGAGUCACGGCAUAUUUUUUAUUUGUUUCUCAGAACAGUUAGUAUGACCUUAACUGUUACAACAGAUUUAAACCUAAUAAAAGAUGCUAAUAAUUACGAUACAAUGACAAAGUAGACCUGGAAAGGGGUGGGGAUGUUCAAGGAAAGCUUUCUGGAGGAGAAAGCCUGAUGCUUCAAUUGUCCCCUUGGCUAGAAAAAUUAGAUUUGAGGCAUAGCGCUCUUCUUUGUGUUGCUCACUUCUGAACAGAAGACCCUUGGGUGCAGCUGGCUGGUAGAGUCUGGGUCACGUGCCUCUGUCUCAGCUGCAAGGGAGGCUGGGAAAUUUGUUUCCUGGCUUCUACUCUGGGGAGGCAGGGUUUGUAAGGUGAGACCUUUCCUAAACAUAGGAGUGAUUCAAAAUGCCUGGGCAGAUAGAAAACAUGACAAAGGUCUAUACACAAACACUGUGCCCGGUACUGGGGAUGAAGCAGUGAGCGCAACAAACUGUUGUUCCUGCCCGUAAAGUUUUCAUAUUGGUGCAUCUUCAAUACGUAACUUUUAAUGGCAAAAAGAGGGGGACUCAUUAAAAUGAUUUAAUUUGUACUAUGAAAUGAGAACUUAUACAGAUUACUCUAUAAUUUAUUUGAGUGUAAUUACAUACAGCAAACUACAAAUUAUGUUCAUUGGUUUCUGAUAUGAACAUCCAAUCUUCCCUUAAUAGGUAUUGGUGAGUUUAAUCAAUGUGAUUGGGUAAACUGUCUUUGUCUGGAACCACCCCUAUGGUUCAUGUUCUGAUCUUCUUCAGUCAGUUUGACCCAACACACUCUCUCUCUCUCUCUCUCUCUCUCUCUCUCUCUCUCUCUCUCUCUCUCUUUUAAGUAGGCUCCAUGCCCAGCAUGGACACUGACCCAGAUGCCCCAGACCAACACUUCUUUUGUACAGUGCUGUAUGGCUGGAGCAACAGUCUUUGUAUCAAAGCAGACAAUCAAAGCAAUCACUAUGUUUGCAAUUGUUUAAAGUUUCUUUUAAUAUUAAACUCUGUCAGCUGUAUUGCAAGGACAGUUUUGUUUUCCUUCAACAUAGACUGCAAUAGGCCUGCCCUCCCUCCGCCUGCUCCUCUGAGUGAUUGCUGCCAUUUGUCUAGCGCCUCUCAUUCUCUGUCCCAGCCCAGCAGCAUGUGGCAAGAGGACUGACAGAGGUCAGAGCUGAAAAGUGGGUUGAAUCACAGAGGGCCUUCUAUCUCCUAUAUAAACAAGCAUGGGCAUGGACCCUUGCCUUUAUGUUCCACCACAGGACCCAGUACCUUGCACACACACAGCCUGAGACAGCAGGCAUUUAAUAUACAUUUAGUGAGUGGAUGGCUGAAUUAUCCAUGGUUGUGGUACCAUAGGGUUUCACUUAUUAACAGGAAAAGCAACAUGAAGAUUAAUUUUUAAAAUCAAAAUAAAUUAUACACUUAAACUUUAUCUCUAUGCAAACAGGGAGCCUCGUUUUCAAAUAAUAAAAUACAGCAGUUGUGGGAUAAGACGGCCCAAGGAAGCUUCAUUUGAAUUUAUGAUGCUGUACUAACAGACCUAAACCCAGUUUCUGACAGAGUCAUAUAAUCAGGUUAGCCAAGCUCCAUGUUAAUCAGCAAGAUCAAAAGGCCCUCACACUAUUACAUAACAAUUUUUGCUGAAGUGAUGCUGAGGAACUCAGGUCUUCUGCUAAGAAGUCAAGUCAAUCACAUUAGCAUCCACAUAAAUGGACCCCAGAAAAGGAAGUGCACAUUUAAAAUACAGUACACAGGGCGUCUGGGUGUCUCAGUCGGUUGAGCUUCUGACUUCGGCUCAGGUCAUGAUCUCACGGUCUGUGAGUUCGAGCCCCGCGUCGGGCUCUGUGCUGACAGCUCAGAGCCUGGAGCCUGCUUCAGAUUCUGUGUCUCCCUCUCUCUCUGCCCCUCCCCCGUUCAUGCUCUGUCUCUCUCUGUCUCAAAAAUAAACAUUAAAAAAAUUUUUUUUAAUAAAAUACAGUACGCUAUUCCCAUUACUCUCUUUCAAUCUGAUUUUUCUGGAUAUAAAACCAACAUUCUGGAGACAAAAUUAGUCAGUAAAUUGGGAUGAUCUCACUGAAAGCCAUCAACAGUGUAGGUCUGAUAACUGUCUUCCUCCCCCCCCCUUUUAAAAAUUCAUUUAUUUUUGAGAGGGGGAGAGGGGGAGAGAGGGGGAGAGAGUGGGAGAGAGGGGGAGAGAGGAUCCAAAGCAAGGCUCUGCACUCACAGCAGAGAGCCCGAUGUGGGGCUCAAACUCACAAACUGUGAGAUCAUGACCUGAGCUGAAGUCAGAUGCUUAACCAACUGAGCCACCCAGGCACCCUCAUCUUCCUUUUGCCCUUUGAAAUAUCAUGAUGCCUGAUGUUUCCAGGCUCACACUCAGCCUCUUGUUGGCCCCAUUUCACUCCUUUGCUAACCUCAAGAAAAGCCUGUUGACCUCAGGGAGAUGGCUGUGCUUCUUUUCCUUCACAUGGAUACCAUUACAAUUCUACUGUCUCCCUGUGCUCACCAUGCUCUCUGGUCUCUUCUAAUAAGGACACUGAUGUCAUCAUGAGGGUACCAUCAUUCAUGGCCUCAUCUGACCCUAAUUACCUCCCAAAAGAAACACCUCCAAACCCCAUUACAUUGAGGAGUUAGGGCUUCAACCUAUGAAUUCCAGGGGAACACAAACAGUCAGUCCACAACAACCAAUGAUGAGCUGCUGUCCGGGCAACUUAGGAAACCGACGGCAUGGCAUCCCUUUAAAGACCAAAGGCCAAACCACUGCCUGGGCCUAGAAAUCUCUGCACACACAGAAUCAAAGAAGGCCAUCAUUU